GUCCACGCUGUAAACGGUGAGUGCUGGGUGUGGGAGGUGUAAUGCCUUCUGUGCCGAAGCUAACGCGUUAAGCACUCCGCCUGGGGAGUACGGCCGCAAGGUUGAAACUCAAAGGAAUUGACGGGGCCCGCACAAGCGGUGGAGCAUGUGGUUUAAUUCGACGCAACGCGAAAACCUUACCUGGGCUUGACAUGGAGAGAAUUCGGAUGAAAGUCUGAAGUGCCUCGUAAGGGGAGCUCUCACACAGGUGCUGCAUGGCUGUCGU
rnacentral:rRNA from 1 species